UGCAAGUCGAGCGGUAACAGAGAGGUGCUUGCACCUUUGCUGACGAGCGGCGGACGGGUGAGCAACGCGCAGGAAUCUACCUGGUAGUGGGGGAUAGCCCAGAGAAAUUUGGAUUAAUACCGCAUACGCCCUACGGGGGAAAGGAGGGGAUCUAUUUAUAGACCUUUCGCUAUCAGAUGAGCCUGCGUGAGAUUAGCUUGUUGGUGAGGUAAAGGCUCACCAAGGCGACGAUCUCUAGCUGGUCUGAGAGGAUGAUCAGCCACACUGGGACUGAGACACGGCCCAGACUCCUACGGGAGGCAGCAGUGGGGAAUAUUGCACAAUGGGGGAAACCCUGAUGCAGCCAUGCCGCGUGUGUGAAGAAGGCCUUCGGGUUGUAAAGCACUUUCAGUUGUGAGGGAAGGUUGAUACUUAAUACGUAUUAACUGUGACGUUAGCAACAGAAGAAGGACCGGCUAACUCCGUGCCAGCAGCCGCGGUAAUACGGAGGGCCCGAGCGUUAAUCGGAAUUACUGGGCGUAAAGCGCGCGUAGGCGGCUUGGUCAGUCAGAUGUGAAAUCCCCGGGCUCAACCUGGGAAUUGCACCUGAUACUGCCAGGCUAGAGUACAGAAGAGGGUGGUGGAAUUUCCUGUGUAGCGGUGAAAUGCGUAGAUAUAGGAAGGAACAUCAGUGGCGAACGCGGCCACCUGGCCUGAUACUGACGCUGA
rnacentral:rRNA from 1 species